rnacentral:rRNA from 1 species
GCUCAGGACGAACGCGGGCGGCGUGCCUAAUACAUGCAAGUCGAGCGAAUUUCAAGGGGCUUGCCCCUUGAGGUUAGCGGCGGACGGGUGAGUAACACGUGGGCAACCUGCCUGUAAGACUGGGAUAACACCGGGAAACCGGUGCUAAUACCGGAUAAUUCUUUCCCUCUCAUGAGGGGAAGCUGAAAGUCGGUUUCGGCUGACACUUACAGAUGGGCCCGCGGCGCAUUAGCUAGUUGGUGAGGUAACGGCUCACCAAGGCGACGAUGCGUAGCCGACCUGAGAGGGUGAUCGGCCACACUGGGACUGAGACACGGCCCAGACUCCUACGGGAGGCAGCAGUAGGGAAUCUUCCGCAAUGGACGAAAGUCUGACGGAGCAACGCCGCGUGAGUGAUGAAGGCCUUCGGGUCGUAAAACUCUGUUGUUAGGGAAGAACAAGUACCGGAGUAACUGCCGGUACCUUGACGGUACCUAACCAGAAAGCCACGGCUAACUACGUGCCAGCAGCCGCGGUAAUACGUAGGUGGCAAGCGUUGUCCGGAAUUAUUGGGCGUAAAGCGCGCGCAGGCGGUCCUUUAAGUCUGAUGUGAAAGCCCACGGCUCAACCGUGGAGGGUCAUUGGAAACUGGGGGACUUGAGUGCAGAAGAGGAAAGCGGAAUUCCACGUGUAGCGGUGAAAUGCGUAGAGAUGUGGAGGAACACCAGUGGCGAAGGCGGCUUUCUGGUCUGUAACUGACGCUGAGGCGCGAAAGCGUGGGGAGCAAACAGGAUUAGAUACCCUGGUAGUCCACGCCGUAAACGAUGAGUGCUAAGUGUUAGAGGGUUUCCGCCCUUUAGUGCUGCAGCUAACGCAUUAAGCACUCCGCCUGGGGAGUACGGCCGCAAGGCUGAAACUCAAU